GACGAACGCUGGCGGCGUGCUUAACACAUGCAAGUCGAGCGAUGAAGUUUCUUCGGAAAUGGAUUAGCGGCGAACGGGUGAGGAACACGUGAAGAAUCUGCCCUCCACUGUGGGAUAACACAGGGAAACCUGUGCUAAUACCGAAUAUUGAAACAUAAGUGGCAUCACUGAGUUUUGAAAGAAUUUCGGUGGAGGAUGACUUCGCGGCCUAUCAGCUAAUUGGUGAGGUAAUGGCUCACCAAGGCAACGACGGGUAGCCGGCCUGAGAGGGCGACCGGCCACACUGGGACUUAGACACGGCCCAGACUCCUACGGGAGGCAGCAGUGGGGAAUAUUGGGCAAUGGAGGAAACUCUGACCCAGCGACGCCGCGUGCGGGAUGAAGGCCUUCGGGUUGUAAACCGCUUUCAGUAGGGAAGAAGCGAAAGUGACGGUACCUACAAAAGAAGCACCGGCUAACUAUGUGCCAGCAGCCGCCGCCG
rnacentral:rRNA from 1 species